UGAAAUAAACUACUGAAAUGUAAAAAACGCGUGUAUUAUUUCAACCCCUUCAAGUUACAACAAGAUUGAUGAAAUCCUGAUUGAUUUGGAUAAAUUCUCCUAUUUAAUAGACCAAGCAAAGUAAUAAUGCAAAAAAAUAAAAAGAUGGGUCUUGCAAAGAGUGGUGUUGGUAUACUGUAAUACGUUUUCUAUUUCCUGUUGCUGACUUAUAAAAUUGAUGAUGUAUUAUAUAUAUGAGGGCCGACAUCGUGGUUCAGAUGGAAGAUGCGAAAAAAUUUAAACAACCAAAAAUGACAGAAAAAGCCAAAUGGAGCUCAUUUCAAAGCGUGGACCUACUUCUUUCAUGUGACAAUAAUCCGUCCAAUGCAAAAUUCUUUGGGAGUACAAUCAGUAAAAUACCAAAUAUAAAGGGUGGAAAAUAGUAGAGCGAAUGAGACUCUUAGUAAGAAAAGGAUUUCUAUCCUUCCAGAAAUUCUUCACAAACAUUCAAGAUACCUUAAACCACUUUUGCAGGUCAUGAUAUCGAUCAUAACUCACGAUAAGGGUACAUCCCGAUUUCAUAUUUAUAUAACCAUCAUAUGAUUUAAGCUAUUUUUGGGGUCUUGGCCACUUUUUUCAUUGCUUGGCCCAUAUUUGGCAUCAUUGUCUCUAAGGGGUUAGGGAACCAUCAUACAGAUAAUUGCCAGAUAGGAAUUUAUUUAAGUAAAGUCCCCACAUUGGAGUAUACCCAAGUCCACUUUCACAUAUAAUGUGUGGUCAGAAAAUAAAAUUUUGUAUUCUAUUGGAUUUGUAACCCCCAAGACAAUAUUGGUUGGAAACGUAUAUUUGGGAUAUACAUCUAUAUGAAAUAAAUUGUGGAAACAUGAACAAAUUACAAAUAUAUGAA